CUGAGUCUCCUUUGGACCAUAUGUUUUGUUCACAAUCAUGCAGCAGCUACUAGCAAACCUAGAACUAGAAUCCUGGAUUUUGACUCCCAGUCCAUCACCAAAAAGUAUGUGCUUGCUUUGGUGAGGUAGAAUUUAAAAUGCUAGGAAUGGAAGGGGAAGAAUUUCAAAAGAUUAACCAGAGGAAAGAAAGAUUUUCCCGAGUGGGCUUUAAGCCCUUUGAUGCAGGCAGAACCCUGGAAAUGGAUCUUAGUUAAGUUUCCUUGUGCAGCUGUGCAGAAUUCCACUUCUACUUUGUACCUGGGAACAUGGUGCAUUAUUCAUGCAAACAGAAUCUAUUUGUUCUGAGACUUUGUAGAGAAGGGGGAAAAAAGUGCAUGGCAAAAUUAAGAGAAGUGAUCGCAGCUGCGUUUUUGCAGUGCUACCCUAAAUAGCCACGUAAACUUAGAUGUGGAAACCCUUCUUGAGAAAGAAGCCUGGAUGAAGACAUGAAUGAAAGUAGUUCUAUUGAUGCAUCUGGAAUCUUCAGAACAGUGCUGUGCUGCCUCUUGUGUCCCUGCUUUUCAAGUUGGAAGGCUUUUAAGUACUAGAAACCUCAGUCAAAAUGAUAUGGCAUCUAAUUGUCCUUGUUGUGUGUCUUAAAUGUGCAAAAUAAGUAAUGUUUUCAUGCUGUAAGAUUUUAGAAUGGCUCAAUGAGGGAAGCUAGAGGGAUUUAUAUAAUGGAAAUAUCUGAAUGUGGAAAUGAUGGCUGUUAACCAAUCAGUAAUUAAUAGGCACUUGCUGAACAGCUAGGCACUUGCCAGGCAUCAUACACUAUUAAAUAUGUGGAGCAGAAUUUCUCCACAGGUUUUCUGUAGGCACCUGCAGCUGAUUCAUCUGAAGCCCUUGACAAGUGCAGAUGUAUAGCCCACUUCCAGGGCUAUAGCCAAUUCUCUGAGGAUAUAUCUGAAUAUUUGCACUGAUAACCUGCUUCCUGGGGGGUUUCAGAUAUAGGGGACUACUCCAGAGGGUGGAUGCUCUUCUGCUUCUUUAUUCAAAGCUGCUUACUCUGUUUGAUGCAUAGAACUAAAUACGAGCUUAAAUUGGGUUGAAAGAUGGUUGGAGGCAAGUUUGUGACGGGCCUUGUUUUCCAGGCCAGAUCAUUGAGGCUUUACUCCAUUGGAAUAGGAGGUUAAUCACAAUCUUUGAGCAAGGUUGAAUGCUAAACUUGAUCUCUGGACAAAUUACCCUGGCAGCAGUAGGGGAGAUAGAUAGCAGUGCGAUGACCUAUUUCAGUAAUCCGGAAUCGGUUCUUAAUGACUAUUUCUCAUGAUUUUAUGUUGCUGCAAAAUCAUCUGGUGGGAAGGAAAAUAUAUGAGUUUUUCUCCACCCUCACCCCCCAACCAGGCUUCUCCUUCUUCCUUCGUGUAUAGAAGGACUUGGAGUGGGCUUCUUUUCCCCUCUGCGUGUUUAUCCCUCUCCAAGUGUGGAGAAUUUAGCUAUUCUGAUUGGUGUAACUAUGCCCCUGAUUAGUCCAGUGGUUCUCAAAUUUGGGUGAGUGUUAGAACCACCAGAAGGGCCUGUGACUCCAGAGACUGCUAAGCUCCACCCCCAAGGUUUCUGAUUGGGUGGUUCUGGGCCCAAGGAGCUUGCUUUUCUAACAAGUGCCCAGGUGAUGCAGAUGCUGCUCCACCAGGUACCAGGCUGGAGAACCAUUGCUUUAGGCCCAAAUUCUCUUUCCUUGGAAGCCUUGGGAUACAUGUCACAACAACCUCAUGGAAAAGGCAGUGCAGAGAUGUUGCCAUGGAUGGGAUUGAGGGAAGGUUGAAGGAGCCUACUCAUUCAGAGUCCACUCAACUGGCUGCUGGGAGAUUAUGAGCAUGAAGUUACCGAAUGUCCUGAUUCAACCCCCACAUCACAAGUGCCAGUGACAGAGCUCGCAUCCUCCUCACAGACACACAACCAUGGUCGAAUCAUCCGCCUCCACUCUUCCCCAAAGGCUGGGAAAUGGAGUCAGAACAUGGAGGAUGAGGAACCUGAGAAUUAAAGAAGUUUAUGCAUUAGCCCCAAGUCAUCCAAUAGUUUUUCAGAUGCUAAAACUCACCACCAAAGGGAAGAAAUUAACUACUGGAUGAUCAUGAGCUGUGUAGCCCCCAAACCUUCUGGCACCUAAGGCCUGAUCACCAUCAACCAAUCAGAACUGUGCAUAGCUGAUCACACACGCUGGACAUUCCUCCCUCACCUGGCCUUUAAAAAUGCUUUGCUGAAACUUCGGGGAGUCCAAGGGCUUUUGGUGUAUGAGCCAUCCAUUCUCCUUCCAUGGCGCUGUAAUAAAUCUUUUUCGGCUCCAAAUGUCACUGUCUUGGUUUACCUGGCCUCACUGGGUAUCAGGCACAGGAACUUACAUUCAGUAACAAACCCAGGUAUGGCAAUGAAGUCAAAAUAAAAGCAAACCUUAGAGAAGAGACUUUAUACAGUUGCUUUAAAGAUAGGGUAUGGAUGUGUUGUGUAAGGUCUGCAAGGACUCUGGCCCACUUUCCUCACUUUUCCUAUAUACUCGGAGCAGGACUGACCCAAAACAGGUGCUCAUGGAAGUAUUUUAUGACUGAAUGAACCAAACUGAAAACAGUGUCCUAAAAUCCAGGCAUUAGAAAAAUGGAAACCCAUAUUAUUGUUGCUUUAACUGUGCAUCACCAUAGUUUAUACAAUUAAUCAAACAACAUGCUUUUUUUCAGGGCCACACCCUCAGCAUAUGGAAACUCCCAGGCUAGGGGUCAGCAUGCAACUUUGACUAUAACAGAGGUCAAUUAACAAUUUUUAAUUUAAAAGCAAGAAUAGGAGUGAUUAAAAAGCACAAUUAACUCGUAACAGUCUUCAUGCUUUGUAUCUGCCUCAACAUGUAGGAACUUUAGUGAUAGGUGAGCAUACUUGUGUUACAGGACUUUGCCGGGCAUAGGGGCCAGAUUUCUUAGUAGGAUACUGAAUUUAGAGUCCUCAUAAAACUCUAAAAGAUGUUAAUUUUGAUAUGGAAAUAGCAUUUUUAUUCAUUUAAUAGAUUAUUUAUAAUUUACUUAUUUUUAAAUAAAAUGAAUGGUCAUUAAUGUGGACUCCUAAUUAUGGAUCAAAGGGCUUAUGUCUUUGAACUGGAUCAUAGAAACUGGGGGCUCGGGCAGGAUCCUCUCAACUAUUGGUGGUGGUCUGAGAACCAAAAUGUGACAAUGUCCAUGUCAGCAGCGUCAUUUCAGGGAGUAACACAGGGGAGCGGAGCGCAAGUGAGAAGCCAUAUGAGAUUUGGGCCUCAGCCAAACUGCUUCUAUUUAAAACCUAUUCAGUAAAGGUAUUUGGUUUUAGGGUACAAUUUUUUGAGGGGGCUUGAUUAUAAAAAGAGUGAAUCAGGUUUUGUGACCUCUGUUGUCUGGAAAAGGUGGUUUGCUGGUAAGAAUUUAUGCUCUCAAGGAAGCAGGAGGAAGGAACAUUUAGAUGAUGCUGUGGGAAAAGUGGGAGAUGGAUCCUCUCAAGCCUAUCAAUGCAUUUCUUUUUCUGUUGAAAAGUCAGGUUUAGGGUCAACAAGAGGCCACAGCACACAGAUGAGGUUGGCGCAAAUGCAAGAGACUCUCAGUGUGUCCUGGAGAGGCACUGAGUGAUAUUCUGCUUGAGGGCCUGCUUGAAGAUGAAAGGAUGCUGUGUCCUACAGCUUUCCCAGGAAGGUCUUUCCAAAGACCUGAGGGAUGUGGGGUUUUACUUAAUCUCUAUCUAAGUACUCAAGGUAAACUAGGUAUUGUGCCAAGGUGGGUACAGAGCAGUGUAGCGGGGAUCAGAUUGUGCACAGCCUGUGGUCCCUCGAUCAGGAAUUUGGAUUUAUUGAAAAACAGUGGAAAGUCACUGGUAGAAGAUGUUUUGCAUAGGAAGGAUGGGAUCUGUAUUUAAAGAUCCUUCCUAUAGCAUAUGGAUAUGGGAGGCAAAACUGAGAAUCUACACAUUUUCCAUACAUACCAUUUAAACUUCCAUGUAAUAUUGAUAGAAAUUGUAUGCCUUUUUCCUACAAAGUUAUCUGUCAAAGACACAAAUACACUCUCACCCUCUCCCCGUGAAAGGGAGACAGGAAACACCAACAAUCAUAGAUUUCUAGGCUCAGGGAGCAAAUAAUUAGGGUGGCUGAGGUAAGAGAGUUAUCAGUCACCUAAGGGUCGUCUUACUAUCUGGUGACCAAGGGCUUCUUCUGCAAUAGAUGCCCCAGGGCCAGCAAUGACAGGAAACAGAUACCUUCACACUGGGUGCCCAUUCUAAGAGUCCGUCUUAGGCUAUGCAGCACCAGUAAAAAUCCUUCUGCACGCUGACAUUUCAUGAAACAUUAUCAUGCUUUCACUUAACAGAAUGCAGCCAUCUUACAAAGAGUUCCCCAGAACCAGAAAAGAAAGCACAGUAAUCAGUAUUGCAGAAUAUUUUAAUAAUUUACGUAGAAAAUCCAAAAACUGACAAGAGAAUUUAGAAGUAUCAGUGAGUUCAAGAUCACUAUUCAAAGACAAAUGUCAAUCCAACACACCAAAAAUUUAUCUUACAGAAAAAAGAUCUUCUCAACAGAAACUUAAAUCAUAAGGCAUAUGGAAACAAAUCUGGUAGAUUAUGUAUAACACCCACAUUGUUAUAAAAUACUAUUGAAGGAGAUAAAAGACUUACCUAAAUGAAGCAAGAGCAUGUACAAUUUAUGGAUAGGAAACCUUACUAUCCUAAAGUGGUCAGUUCUCCCUUAAAAUAAUCCAUAUAUUCAAGAAUAUUUAAAUAAAAAUCUUAACAAAUUUUCAUGUACCUAAGUAAAAUAAUUCUAAAAUUGGGAAAAGCGAUUACCUUAUAAUUUCUACAACAAUAAUAAAAAUUAAAAGAACCAAGAUAACUUGCCCUAUUAGACUUAAGACUUUCUAAAACUAGGGUAAUUAAAACAUUAAGGCAGAGGCUAAGACAUCCACAGAGAAAAAGGGACUCAAUUUCAGAGUCAAGAAACAGAUCAGGCUUAUGUGGAAAUUAGCAGCUGGUGUGCAUGGCAUACAAAUCUUGUGCAAUGAUGGACUAUUCAGUAAAAAGGUACAGUGACUCAGCUUUCUGUAUGGAUAAUACAGAUAAUCUAAAGUAUUACUUCACAUAAUGCAAAAAAUAAACUGCAAAUGCAAACAAUACGUAAUUUAGAAAAUCAAACUUUUAACACAACACAAUGUACAAGAGCAUCUUUAGGACUUCUAAAACUGUAAACAUUCCUUACAUAAGACAGAUUAAAAAAAAAGAUCAGUAAUUCUGAUCUGAAUUUUAAACUUCUAUAACAUACAGGUGCCAUAUACAAACUUUGAGAAAGGCCAAAUUGGGAGAAGACAGUUCCAUUAAACAUAACAAAAAUCAAUAUUUAAAAGAAAAAUAAUUCAACAGAAAAAACCGAACAAAAGAGCUAACUGAAUGGAACAGCCAACCCCGAAGGCAGAAAGAGCCAAUAAAUAUAAAAAUACACACAACCUCACAGGAAAUCAAGAAAAUGGGAACUGGAGCAAGGAGAGAUUACGCACAGGUAUCAGAUGAUUGUAAUAUUAUCUGAUACUAUAGUUUUGCCAAAGUGUUAGCGAAGACAAAGGCAAACCAAAGGUUUCAUAAUUUCUAUAGUAUGGAUAUUAAUUUAUAGAACUAAUUUACAGAGGAAUUAGAAACCUAGUGAAGUUGAAAUGAACACACCCUACUGCACAGCACUUCUGCUCCUUGGUUUAAACUACAGAAAAAUUCAUAGUAAGAGAGUAGAACUUUCACAUUCUCACCACACACACACACAGGUAGUUAGGUGAUGGAUAUGCUAAGUCAAAUAUUAUCUGUAGAGUGACAUAUAAAACAUGAUCCUAUUAAGGCAAAUUUAGAGAAAAACAAUAGCAUGCCUAAAAGUGGUAUGGAAUGAUACCACCAAAUCAAGAGAGAAGCUUCCUUUAGAGAGGAGACUUAAUAAUACAAUUCGGCAGCAAGGGAAUUAUUCCCCCCCCCCACUCAUUGAAUGAUUGACCCUUACCUGAUAAAAUAUUUUUAUUAAUUUAUUAAACCUAGUUGUUGGGUAUUGGCAUUUCCUUCUGAAUAUUUUUUCUUUAGCUUUUUCAAAAUUAGUCACUUCAGUGACUACUAAAGAAUGGUAGAAAAUGGGGAGAAUAGCUCUUGAAAAGUUUAUUAACAGAGAACCAAGAAAUGGGACAGGUAGUGGAACAAACCUGCGGGGGAUAAAGAGUCAAAGGAUUUUUUUUUUUCCUUU